rnacentral:lncRNA from 1 species
CAUUGCAUUCUUAUUUGGUGAUGUGAGUAAAUGCUGAAUGAUCCAAUAGUCGCAGACAGGAAGUCCAGGAGCCUUUGACUACGCCCUGGCACGUAUAGCAAAGACCAGGAGCCUUUGACUACGCCCUGGCAGGUAUAGCAAAGUCCAGGAGCCUUUGACUACGCCCUGGCAAUGGUAAGUUCACAGGUGUUAUAUACACAUAUACAUAUAUGACAGGAAGACCAGGUGCUCGAUUCUACGCCCUGGCACAGAGUUACUGGGACUAUGUGGUGACAGGUUUACUCUUGAUGUGGCUUGUCUGUGUUAUGGUGCAUUCCAUGAGAUCAUAUUUUACUGAGAUGUUUUACUGUUCUACUCACUGGGCUAUAGAGCUCAUCCCACUCCCUUAACCCCAGUUUUGCAGGUUCAGUGUACAGUGUACAGGGACAGUCCAGCAGAGUACAGAAAAAGUAAAGAGAUCUGUAAUAGCUUAGAGUGGACAUGUAAUAUUAAAGAG